rnacentral:rRNA from 1 species
GACGAACGCUGGCGGCGUGCUUAACACAUGCAAGUCGAACGGUGAAGCGCCUUCCUUUUUGGUGGGUGUGGAUGAGUGGCGAACGGGUGAGUAACACGUGAGUAACCUGCCCCCUUCUUCUGGAUAACCGCAUGAAAGUGUGGCUAAUACGGGAUAUUCUGGGUCUGUCGCAUGAUGGGUCUGGGAAAGAUAUUGUUUCGGUGGGGGAUGGGCUCGCGGCCUAUCAGCUUGUUGGUGGGGUGAUGGCCUCCCAAGGCGGUGACGGGUAGCCGGCCUGAGAGGGUGGACGGUCACACUGGGACUGAGACACGGCCCAGACUCCUACGGGAGGCAGCAGUGGGGAAUAUUGCACAAUGGGCGCAAGCCUGAUGCAGCGACGCCGCGUGAGGGAUGGAGGCCUUCGGGUUGUGAACCUCUUUCGCCAGUGAAGCAGGCCUGCCUCGUUUGUGGGUGGGUUGACGGUAGCUGGAUAAGAAGCGCCGGCUAACUACGUG